AAGACUAUAGACCUGCGGAGUACCUGCGGAAGGAUCAUUAACAACAAAUCUUGUGUGUGUGUGUGGGUGUGUGUGUGUGUGUGGUAUGUGUUUUAGGUGUGUAUUUACUUUUACUUACUGUGCCUAUAACUGGCCCCACAUAUAUACAUACAUACAUAUAUAUAUGCGCUCCAGCGGUUGUCUGGAUGCACAAUGUACGCUUUUAUUGUCUUGUUGUUAUUUUUGUGGGUUUAAAAUGUU
rnacentral:misc_RNA from 1 species